GACGAACGCUGGCGGCGUGCCUAAUACAUGCAAGUCGAACGCAGUGGGGACGGGUGAGUAACACGUGGGUAACCUCCCAUCAGAGGGGAUAACACUUGGAAACAGGCGCUAAACCGUUACUGAUUGAUGGUACCGCGGUGCAUUAGCUAGGUGGUGAGGUAACGGCGCACCAAGGCUACGAUGCAUAGCUGGUAUGAGAGGGGGGUCGGACACACUGGGACUGAGACACGGCCCAGACUCCUACGGGAGGCAGCAGUAGGGAAUAUUGGGCAAUGGACGAAAGCCUGACCGAGCAAUGCCGCGUGAGUGAAGAAGGUUUUCGGAUCGUAAAACGCUGUUGUUAGAGAAGCGGUAUCUAACCAGAAAGCAACGGCUAACUCCGUGCCAGCAGCCGUGGUAAUUC
rnacentral:rRNA from 1 species